rnacentral:rRNA from 1 species
AGCAGCCGCGGUAAUUCCAGCUCCAAUAGCGUAUAUUAAAGUUGUUGCAGUUAAAAAGCUCGUAGUUGAAUUUCGGGAUUCUUCCGUUGGUCAGGCUAACAAGUCUGUACUAGCGUGUAGAAUCUCUACCUUCUGGGGAACCAUCAUGUUAUUAAUUUAGCGUGGUGGGAAACCAGGACCUUUACCUUGAAAAAAUUAGAGUGUUCAAAGCAGGCUUACGUCUGAAUACAUUAGCAUGGAAUAAUAAAAUAGGACGGUGGUCCUGUUUUGUUGGUUUCUGAAUCACCGUAAUGAUUAAUAGGGAUAGUUGGGGGCAUUAGUAUUCAAUUGUCAGAGGUGAAAUUCUUGGAUUUAUUGAAGACUAACUUCUGCGAAAGCAUUUGCCAAGGAUGUUUUCAUUAAUCAAGAACGAAAGUUAGGGGAUCGAAGACGAUCAGAUACCGUCGUAGUCUUAACCAUAAACUAUGCCGACUAGGGAUCGGACGAUGUUAAAUUUUAUUGACUCGUUCGGCGCCUUACG